rnacentral:lncRNA from 1 species
CUCAGCAUUGGGUCUCUCGUUUAUCAUGAUCAUUGUCCUUGGUAUCAUCAUGUACAAGAUGAACAAUAUAAAGUGUCUGCAGUGUAGAGGAUCUGUCUCAGACAAAAAGUCCAGGAGUCUUUUCUUCAGAUACAUGGCGGGACCCCUUCUCAGCAAAGCCAGAAUGUGAAGCCUCAUGCAAACACGUCAGACCAACAGCAAAACUGUGAUUAUGAUGCCCUGAACUAUACUGCCCUGAAGUUCAGUGAGAAGAAGAGUGCCAAGCCCAGGAGACAGAGGAGAGAACAGAGAGAGGAAGAAACCAUCUACUCUGGUAUGAGUCAUCAAGACAUGAUGUGACAUAUGAGGGUCAUUCAGUCAGCAUCAUUCUAAGUUAAGCCCCACCCCUCCUCUGAAUUCCACUUUGAUCCUGACUGAGCCAGCGUGAACUGACUAUUAUAUACAUUUCUCAUUUAUUGUAGGAUGCUAUUGCAGGGGCCUAGUUUUGCCAUAUAUCAACGUAAAAUCAUUCAGAUGCUGAGCAUAAUUGUCCAGUAAGUGUGAAAGCUGAUACUAGGAUGAUUUCAGAAGUCUCAAAUCCUUAGCAAUAGUGGCUGAGGUUGACUGACUCCAUACAUUUGUUUUUGUGGAAGAGUACAACAAAAUGUAUAUAAUGAUUUUGCAAAUGUCUGAAUUCUUCCUUUUGAUGAUAAUAGUUGUAACAUAGUACUCUGUAACCUGCCCUUAUGCUUGUGUG